CUCUCUCUCUCUCUCUCUCUCUCUCUCUCUCUCUCGUUCAACCCUUGAAUUGUUAGAUGCAGAGAUGUACGUACUUACAAUGAAUAGUAGAAUUUGUUGUUAAAAAAAAUUGAAGCGGAUUUGUUAUGAUAUUGUGCUUGAUUGGUUGAUUUCAUAUAUAUAUAUAUAUAUUUAUAUAAUACAUGGAUAUAUAUUUUAUCAAUACAUGUUAGCAUCUUUAAUGAAAUAUUCUGCUGCAAAAUGAGAUCAACGAGUGCUUGAGUAUGUUUAACAACUAUUUAAGAAAAGGCGUUAAUUUAGGUAAGUGUUCGCGUUGGAUAGAUUAUUGAUUGAGCUGUUUGUUCGCUAUCACAAAGUGCUCGAUUUUUUUCAUUUGUAAAUAUGAAAAUGUUCUUCAAGAUGUGAAUUGUCAUCUAUUGUUCAUUUGUUUUGCAUUGUUUGUUCUAUGUGAUAACAGGUUUUGGUUUUUUCUAUAUGGACCAAGAUCUUGGACAUAAUCGAUUACUAUUUUAGUGAAAGAUUCAUGGUUUGUUUCCUCUUGAAGAACAUUCAUGGUUUGUUUCCUCUUGAAACAUUUUCUAUCGUGUGCUAAUUUGAUACAUUUGCAGUCUAGGAGGAUUUAUGUAUCUAUUACACACUAUGAUUGUUCAUAGCCUUCUAUAAAAAUGAAUGAGAUUUUGAAUAAAGCAAACUGAUAAAACCUCAAAGCUCUUAAUCUCUUGAUCUUCUGGAAAACCAAGUUGCUCCAAAUCCAUUUGUAAUUCCCUAUCAUUUACAGGUUCUUAUAGAGAAUCUUUGGUGUUUGCACUUGUUGAUCAGAUGUUAUUUCAUUCUCUUUAGUAAGCUUUACAGUGUGUUAAUCAUUUGUUUUUGUUAUUCAUGCAGAAUGAUGCUCAUGGCACCAUGUUACAUGAUUUUGGAAACUGAAGUUGGUUGGUAUCGUGUUUGUAUGAAGGUUAAUGAUCAGUGUUUUUAUUUACCUUUUGAAUAGUUAAGUCAUUUUUUGAUCAUCUC
rnacentral:lncRNA from 1 species